rnacentral:rRNA from 1 species
CAGAGGUGGCAAGCGUUGUUCGGAAUUACUGGGCGUAAAGGGCGCGUAGGCGGUUCGGUAAGUCCCGUGUGAAAUCCCUCGGCUCAACUGAGGAACUGCACGGGAGACUGCCGGGCUUGAGUUCGGGAGAGGGAAGCGGAAUUCCGGGUGUAGCGGUGAAAUGCGUAGAUAUCCGGAGGAACACCGGUGGCGAAGGCGGCUUCCUGGACCGACACUGACGCUGAGGCGCGAAAGCUAGGGGAGCAAACGGGAUUAGAUACCCCGGUAGUCCUAGCUGUAAACGAUGAGCGCUGGGUGUAGGGGGUAUCAACCCCCCCUGUGCCGAAGCUAACGCAUUAAGCGCUCCGCCUGGGGAGUACGGUCGCAAGGCUG